rnacentral:rRNA from 1 species
UACGAAGGGGCUAGCGUUGCUCGGAAUUACUGGGCGUAAAGGGCGCGUAGGCGGAUAUUUAAGUCGGGGGUGAAAGCCCAGGGCUCAACCCUGGAACAGCCUUCGAUACUGGAUAUCUUGAGUACGGGAGAGGUGUGUGGAACUCCGAGUGUAGAGGUGAAAUUCGUAGAUAUUCGGAAGAACACCAGUGGCGAAGGCGACACACUGGCCCGUUACUGACGCUGAGGCGCGAAAGCGUGGGAGCAAACAGGG